UACGAAGGGGGCUGGCGUUGUUCGGAAUUACUGGGCGUAAAGCGCACGUAGGCGGAUCAUUUAGUCAGGGGUGAAAUCCCGGGGCUCAACCUCGGAACUGCCUUUGAUACUGAUGGUCUCGAGUCCGGAAGAGGUGAGUGGAAUUCCUAGUGUAGAGGUGAAAUUCGUAGAUAUUAGGAAGAACACCAGUGGCGAAGGCGGCUCACUGGUCCGGUACUGACGCUGAGGUGCGAAAGCGUGGGGAGCAAACAGG
rnacentral:rRNA from 1 species